rnacentral:rRNA from 1 species
GAUGAACGCUGGCGGCGUGCCUAAUACAUGCAAGUCGAGCGAACGGACGAGAAGCUUGCUUCUCUGCUGUUAGCGGCGGACGGGUGAGUAACACGUGGAUAACCUACCUAUAAGACUGGGAUAACUUCGGGAAACCGGAGCUAAUACCGGAUAAUAUUUUGAACCGCAUGGUUCAAAAGUGAAAGACGGUCUUGCUGUCACUUAUAGAUGGAUCCGCGCUGCAUUAGCUAGUUGGUAAGGUAACGGCUUACCAAGGCAACGAUGCAUAGCCGACCUGAGAGGGUGAUCGGCCACACUGGAACUGAGACACGGUCCAGACUCCUACGGGAGGCAGCAGUAGGGAAUCUUCCGCAAUGGGCGAAAGCCUGACGCAGCAACGCCGCGUGAGUGAUGAAGGUCUUCGGAUCGUAAAACUCUGUUAUUAGGGAAGAACAUAUGUGUAAGUAACUGUGCACGUCUUGACGGUACCUAAUCAGAAAGCAACGGCUAACUACGUG